rnacentral:rRNA from 1 species
UGGGGAAUUUUGGACAAUGGGCGAAAGCCUGAUCCAGCAAUGCCGCGUGUGUGAAGAAGGCCUUCGGGUUGUAAAGCACUUUUGUCCGGAAAGAAAUCCUUGGCUCUAAUACAGUCGGGGGAUGACGGUACCGGGAAAGAAUAAGCACCGGGCUAACUACGUGCCAGCAGCCGCGGUAAUAUGUAGGGUGCAAGCGUUAAUCGGAAUUACUGGGGCGUAAAGCGUGCGCAGGCGGUUUGCUAAGACCGAUGUGAAAUCCCCGGGCUCAACCUGGGAACUGCAUUGGUGACUGGGCAGGCUAGAGUAUGGCAGGAGGGGGGUAGAAUUCCACGUGUGAGCAGUGAAAUGCGUAGGAGAUGGUGGAGGAAUACCGAUGGCGAAGGCAGCCCCCUGGGCCAAUACUGACGCUCAUGCACGAAAGCGUGGGGGAGCAAACAGGAUU